rnacentral:rRNA from 1 species
AUUGAACGCUGGCGGCAGGCCUAACACAUGCAAGUCGAACGAGUGGCGGACGGUUGAGUAAUGUUUGGGAAACUGCCUGAUGGAGGGGGAUCAACACUGGAAACGGUAACUAAUAACGCAUACUACAAGAUGUGCCCAGAUGGGAUUAGCUUGUGGGUGGGGUAACGGCUCACCAAGGCGACGAUCCCUAGCUGGGCUGAGAGGAGGACCAGCCACACGGGAACUGAGACACGGUCCAGACUCCUACGGGAGGCAGCAGUGGGGAAUAUUGCAAAAUGGGCGAAAGCCUGAUGCAGCCAUGCCGCGUGUAGGAAGAAGGCCUUCGGGUUGUAAAGUACUUUCAGCGGGGAGGCGUUACCCGCAGAAGAAGCACCGGCUAACUCCGUGCCAGCAGCCGCGGUAAUAC